AUUGAACGCUGGCGGCAUGCUUUACACAUGCAAGUCGAACGGUAACAGGCCGCAAGGUGCUGACGAGUGGCGAACGGGUGAGUAAUGCAUCGGAACGUGCCCAGUCGUGGGGGAUAACGCAGCGAAAGCUGCGCUAAUACCGCAUACGAUCUAUGGAUGAAAGCGGGGGACUGUAAGGCCUCGCGCGAUUGGAGCGGCCGAUGUCAGAUUAGGUAGUUGGUGGGGUAAAGGCUCACCAAGCCAACGGUCUGUAGCUGGUCUGAGAGGACGACCAGCCACACUGGGACUGAGACACGGCCCAGACUCCUACGGGAGGCAGCAGUGGGGAAUUUUGGACAAUGGGCGCAAGCCUGAUCCAGCAAUGCCGCGUGCAGGAAGAAGGCCUUCGGGUUGUAAACUGCUUUUGUACGGAACGAAACGGCUCUGGUUAAUACCUGGGGCUAAUGACGGUACCGUAAGAAUAAGCACCGGCUAACUACGUGCCAGCCGCCGCCGUAAGAC
rnacentral:rRNA from 1 species